CCUUCGAUAGCUCAGUUGGUAGAGCGGGGGACUGUAGAUUUAUAAUUGUGAUCCCUAAUUCGCUGGUUCGAAUUCGGCUCACAGGA
rfam:Nematostella vectensis strain CH2 x CH6 NEMVEscaffold_285_Cont22394, whole genome shotgun sequence.